rnacentral:sRNA from 1 species
UGCCACUUUGGCUGGACUCAGGCUGGUUCCGCGGCCCGAGCUUCACGGUUUCUUCUGGGUUGGAUUGCAGUUGCUGACUCGUGAGCGGAGAUUGGUGGGUGGGGUCUGCAGCUGCUGCUUCAUGUUUGGCGUUUUCUAGUAGACUGGACUGAGAGCUACUCAGAAGAUUGGACUCACCCGCAAAGGGUCCACUUCCCCAUAUCCUAAUAAUCUUUCUCCUCAACAACCUCUGGAAGGUGGUGAGCUAGAUGGGUGGUUAAACCCUUAUAGGUUGAGAAAAUAAUUGCCUACAAACAGUUGUAGACGUCCUCAUUUGCAAGGCCCUGGAUCAACGUUCUGCCUCGCUGAGACCAUUAAGGAAAAGUAGGCACCUGGACAGUGAGAAACAGCGUCCUUCCAACACGAGAACCUCGGGUCAUCUCCUUUAUGUUGCUUUGAUCUUCUGCAAGGUUCCACAGGGAUUUUCCUUUAGAGCUCAGAAUCCAGUGAUCAGUGAUCCUUGGGAAGGAUGCCGAGACAAGCAGCAGCACCGUGAUGCUUCAUCAGCACAGAGUACAGCAAAAGCAUUGCCUGGACAUGGCCGCUUUGAAAGCCUGACAAGAAGCUAGCUACAGUCAUGGUCAAGGUCACCGUGACGUAGUCAAUCUCCUGCAUAUGCAUUUCCUAACUCUCAUUACUGGACUCCAUACUUGGCUUUUACCUUUGACCCCGUCCACCCCUGAGUAACACCUGGUGUCCUCAGUUCCUAUAUUGUGAUAACCCCAGCCACCCUCUCCUGUGACAAACAACAAAGGGGAAGGAUGUUUUCUUGACGGCUAAAGCAAGUUAGUUUGUGGUUUAAUUCCUAAUAGUGGUAUGAAGGAUUGUUUUCUCGUGUUCAGCUGAAAUCAUCUGCUGUCUCUCAUAUGAACGGCAGAAUGCUCGAGGGCUGGGGCGAUGGAUGGGAGAAUCUGAACUAAAGCCAAACGCUGUUCUCCAGCCCAAGCCCCGUGCGAGCAGGGCGAGGUCUGGUUAACAUCCCAGUGCACACCCAUUUGUAAUGUGAAGUCAGCGACACCGCACUCCGUGGCCUCUGAUGCCUGCAAUUUAAUAAAGUGAGAACUCAACACAAGGGUUGGGUCCUGAAGCAGUGACAUUCUCUCUCUGUUGGAUCACAUUUCCCAGCGUGCGUGUGAGCGUGGAGAAGAUGGAGACAGGACUCGGGAGGCAGAAGAAUACAAACAUGAAGCCUGAAAUGGAAAAUUAAAGAGGAGAUUAAACUCCGCCGUCUAACCCAGCUACGAAAGGUUCCAAGUAACUGCUCUUGAGCCCUGUCCCCAGUACCUGUCUGUCUGGUCCAAUCCUGGUUCCCCCACCCCCCACCCAUCCUCCAUCCCGGCUUCUGGCCCUGGAUGUUGUCCUUGUGGUGUGUUCUUCCUAAGAUCCAAGCUAGCUGGCUCUGUGUCUCUAGUGAGUCUCUGGGCCCCGCUUCUUGGCUGUUUAACCUCUGGCUCUAGGGACUAUUUCUGACCUAUGUGAUUUGUACCAGUGUCUGGACCAACAGGAGACUUGAGUCUUUUGGUCUCGGGAGCCACCCACAUACCUGCCCAUUUAACGGGACUCACCUGGAUAUCUGGGCCUUCCCUCAGUGCCAUGUGGCCCCAGACCAUCCCUGGCCAUGCUAGCAUAAUCUUUAGCUACUACCUGGUCUUCUGUCAUUUGCUUUGAUUCUCUCUAGGCCUGCCUUUUCGCAGACAGCUCAUUCAAACAGAAUCUAGAACAUUCCUGAGGUACCCCAGUGGUCUUGAUCACUUCAUGGUGACCAGGAAUGCUAAGAGGAUGUGAUAUGAAAUACUGAGGUAUACUGCAGCAGCGGCAGGAGUAAGAGGGUAGCUGGUGGGUCCAUGCCCAAGUGUCUUGAGAAAUCACGCCAUGCAACAGCGUGUCCCACCAUCCAUGUAGCCUACAAGAAAAGGGACAGGAUACCUGCCCAUACAGCCUUUCAUUAGGAGCGUGUGCUGGCUAGUCUCAUCAACCUGACACCAGCUAGAAUCGUCUGGCUAGAGAGAACGUCAAUCAUCAAUCAAGAACGUGCCACAUGGGUUUGCAGAUAAGCUAAUCUGGAGGGGCCAUUUCCUCAAUUGUAAAUCCUUCUUCUCAGAUAACACUGGCUCAUGUCACGAUCACAAAAAAUAAAACCCAAUCAGGACAGAACCCCUUCACUAAAUUUGUGCCUCAAAAUAAUUGUCCCCAAUGUAGCAUGACCUUUGUGGGGUCAUGACCACAAAGAUCCUAGAGAGCAGUCUCUUGUCUCUUUCAAACUCCAUCAACACCUGACCUUUCCCAACCUUUCUGAGCUCUUUCACCCUUCCUGCCCCAAGAUGACAAUGGAGAGAUGCGUCCCAUGAUGCAACAGUCUGUGUGCCUUGACCUUGGACUUCUAGCAAGUGUCUGUAAGAAAUAAACACUUCUUGUUCCCAA